GCCUGGGUGGCUCAGUCAGUUCAGCGUCCGACUUUGGCUCAGGUCAUGAUCUCACAGUUCGUGGGUUCGAGCCCCGCAUCAGGCU
rfam:Felis catus isolate Cinnamon breed Abyssinian chromosome C1, whole genome shotgun sequence.